rnacentral:SRP_RNA from 2 species
GCCGGGCAUGGUGGCGCAUGCCUGUAAUCCCAGCUACUCGGGAGGCUGAGACAGGAGAAUCGCUUGAACCAGGGAGUCAGAGGUUGCAGUGAGCCGAGAUGGCGCCACUGUACUCCAGCCUGGCAACAGAGUGAGACUCUGUCUCAA